rnacentral:rRNA from 1 species
GACGAACGCUGGCGGCGUGCCUAAUACAUGCAAGUAGAACGCUGAAGAGAGGAGCUUGCUCUUCUCGGAUGAGUUGCGAACGGGUGAGUAACGCGUAGGUAACCUGCCUUGUAGCGGGGGAUAACUAUUGGAAACGAUAGCUAAUACCGCAUAACAAUGGGUGACACAUGUCAUUUAUUUGAAAGGGGCAAUUGCUCCACUACAAGAUGGACCUGCGUUGUAUUAGCUAGUAGGUGAGGUAACGGCUCACCUAGGCGACGAUACAUAGCCGACCUGAGAGGGUGAUCGGCCACACUGGGACUGAGACACGGCCCAGACUCCUACGGGAGGCAGCAGUAGGGAAUCUUCGGCAAUGGGGGCAACCCUGACCGAGCAACGCCGCGUGAGUGAAGAAGGUUUUCGGAUCGUAAAGCUCUGUUGUAAGUCAAGAACGAGUGUGAGAGUGGAAAGUUCACACUGUGACGGUAGCUUACCAGAAAGGGACGGCUAACUACGUGCCAGCAGCCGCGGUAAUACGUAGGUCCCGAGCGUUGUCCGGAUUUAUUGGGCGUAAAGCGAGCGCAGGCGGUUUGAUAAGUCUGAAGUUAAAGGCUGUGGCUCAACCAUAGUUCGCUUUGGAAACUGUCAAACUUGAGUGCAGAAGGGGAGAGUGGAAUUCCAUGUGUAGCGGUGAAAUGCGUAGAUAUAUGGAGGAACACCGGUGGCGAAAGCGGCUCUCUGGUCUGUAACUGACGCUGAGGCUCGAAAGCGUGGGGAGCGAACAGG